AUGGGUAGAAAGGUGUGCACCUCUCUUGUAAUCCUCGCGCUUGUACUGCUCCCUGCCCCGUACACGAAGGCCGCGGUGGGCUACAGCAAUGGCGAGGCGAUCAUGCCAGCGCCCUCCUCGUCCAUGAGGCUGGAGGAUGGUGUGGCGCCGGAGCUUGGGGUGAUAUCGGUGGUGGACCUGGACGUCAACGGCCUCCUCGGCGGCAACGACAUCGGCAUGGGGGCCCUGAAGCGCAACGGGCCUGUCUGCCUUGUUGCUCCGUGCGUCACCGGAGGGCCGUCCAGCGGCGGCGGCCGGGGCUGCAACCCACAUUAUCACUGCGUUAUCCACUGA
rnacentral:rRNA from 1 species